UGUUAUAAAGCAGAAACUAACACACCAUAGUAAAGCAAUUAUACUCCAAUAAAGAUGUAAAAAGAAUAAAUAAAUUCCAUUGUUAUUUAUAAAAAAAAAAAAGAAAUCACCCCCUAUAGUUUUUGCAUUUCAGAAACAAGGUCACUGGCCAAUAAACCAGAGGCAAACGGACACAAUUAUCAGACUGCCGGACCCCAGUUACCGGGGUGGCCUGACGCCAGCUAUGACUGUUUUGAAAUAAUGCAAAGGAAAGGAAGAAUGCAAGACCUUCACUACUUUGAUCCUUAUCAUAGACCCCCGGACUGCGAGCCUCACAUAUAAAAUCUUCCCUGAUUCCCAAGGAGGGGGGGCACAGCUCUGGAGGCGCUAGCCUGCUGUGUCUUCCCUUCUGCCUGGCAGAAAAAUAAAGCCAUCUCUCUCUUCCUCCAAAAUCCCAGUCUCUGUAUUUCGGUUCGGCCUCGGUGCACAAGGAAGCUGAUGCUUCGGCAACAAAAUGGGGGCUCGUCCGGGGUCUGCUCGCGUACAGGCAGCCCCGCAGGGCCCCUCGGCUUGAUCGGAAGCUCGGGGAUCUCUCUGCACGCCAGGCUCCUUCGGGAGAGCUGAGGGUUGGAGGAUUUCUCUGAGGCCAGAUCGCCAGGGACUCCCUGCCGCAGGGCUGUGCCGCAUCACACCCGGCCUGUCGGCUGCGGCGGAGUACGGGGGAGAGGCUGACCUAGCAGCUGCCGAGGCUCAUUUUGCCUUGAGGACACCUUCUCUUCUCUUGGCCGCGUCGGCCUGGACUUCCACUCCGAGAAAACACUGAAUAUUGGAGGAUCAGAAAGAGGACGUAGGGAAGUCGCGACGCACCCGUCAGCACCUACGAUUGGAAACUCUUAGGUCCCCAGCACCUUUAUCAGAUAAAUUAGGAAGGCUACCUCACUAACAGGUACAGAAAUCUCAAGGUAUUUUCGGGACCUUGAAAAGGGAGGAAUUCACCUGUAUCUGAUCAGAUACCCCACGACCUACAACCAGGGGAUUAUACAUACUGGAAAAGACAUAAUUUAAAGGACUAUCUCCAGACUGGAUGGAAGGACCCUUAUCAGGUACUCUUAACUAGCUCAUACACAGUAAAACUAAAGGGAAUUAACUCUUGGAUUAAUUUCCACUCACAAAGGGCCCCUGCACUGGACUGGCCUAUAGAGAGGAUGGCUGACCUCAAAAUCACCUUAAAACAACGCUCAAACGGAGGAGAAACUACACUCACACGAGGAUGAGAAAAAGACAUCAUCAGAAGUGGACAGCUUCCCCAAGAUCCUGGACCUGACUCAUACGCUCAUUUAUAAUGUUUUCUCGACUUCUUGGACCUUUGCAUAUGAAUCAAAUGUUUUUCUGUCAUAGGCACGAUGCUAUGACAGUUUUUGUUGUUGUUGUUGUUGUUGUUUUUGCGGUGCGCGGGCCUCUCACUGCUGUGGCCUCUCCUGUUGCGGAGCACAGGCUCCGGACGCGCAGGCCCAGCGGCUAUGGCGCACGGGCCCAGCCGCUCCGCGGCAUGUGGGAUCUUCCCGGACCGGGGCACAAACCCGCGUCCCCUGCAUCGGCAGGCAGACUCUCAACCACUGCGCCACCAGGGAAGCCCCUAUGCUAGUUUUAAAAAUCAAUCCAGUUGUUGGGUUUGUGGCCAAUUACCUAUGUCUAGUACUUCUGGGUUACCUGAGUGGACUUCUCCACUCCAAGGCUCUAAUUGGCUGCCUCUUAGGAAAUUUAUCUUAAAAGGAAAAUUAUAGUCAUGUUCAGGCCACUACUGAUAUGACUGGAUGAGAUCCCCUCACCUGACCAAUUAAUAACACCUGCUCUGACCCUGACCAUACAUACGAAUUUUCCUCUAUUACUCAAAGUUCAAUCAGAGCAACAAGCAAAAUUUCAGCCCAGGAAUAAAACCUCCCCCAAUUAUGGGAUGGAUUUAUGUAAUUAACACCAGGCUACGGUAAUUUAAGGUUAAAGGCUCCUCUAAAGGCUGGGAACAAUUCAAUCAUACUAAGGAUAAUCAGUCUUUUAGUAACACUAAAAAACUGGGCUGAGUACCUUGUGGACACUGCCAGUAUAUAAUUUCCCUGAAGAAUAGGGAUUGGUACAGAACAGACUAAGUCAGACGACCUGGGAUAUACCGGGCUGCCCCUAAUGGAAGUUCUUGGCUGACUUCUUCCUUAUGACUUUAUGAAUACUGCCAGCUAUGUUAUUUGUAUUCUGCCUAUUUCAAACAAAGUGAUUGUUUCUUAUGUUACCAAGUGUGUGACUGGGCCUCUGAUAAAAUGAUGAUAUAGAGUUCCAUAUGAGAUCAGUGAUUGCAAUAGUCUAACUCUAGAUAUGAGAAGAAGCAACAAGAGGGAGUAUUGUCCUGGACCAUAAGAGACUAGGAAGACAGGUGGUCCAGAGACUUCUGGAUACUAGGAAAGGCCUAGGCCAGUAAUAGCCCAUGGAGUGGCUUAUCAGCAAAAUCUUCACCAGACCUGGGAAGGAGCAUUCCUAACACCAUGGGACAAAAUGGUCAGGAAAUGCCCCAAACCAUGGUCGAAAUUACGACCAUAAAGGGGCCCUGUUGACUGAAAACUGACACUUGCCAUCUACUUCUACAAGGAUUAAAUCAUGAGCUGUUGUAGCUGGUGACCUCCAACACCCUCUACAAGGACUUCCAGGUGGAGAGCUGAAACGAGGGACUCUGUGCGCUGGGAAAAACUGACAGGACAGGCCUUGAGAUAGUUAAAUAAUUUCAGGAGAAGAUUUUACGAGCCCCAGUUCUUGCAUCUUCUCAUACCCAGAGAAACACUGACACCAUUAACGGUGACACUAUGGUGUGAUUUAAGCAAGUCCUUUUAUUGCUAAGAACUUGAGUUUUCUGAGCUGUUUUAGAUAUGGGAUGCCACCGGCCAAUUUCAAAACAAUGUCUGCUGACAGCUGGUAACUGCAACCUUACUUCUUAAAGGUCUCCUCUUGUAGCUAUUACACUUUUAGACGAUAAAAUUGCUUUAGAUCAUAUGUUAACAAAAAGAGAAAACACAUAUGUAGUGACCAAUAGCUCCUGUUAUCUAUAUGUUAAUACCACAACAAAGGUUAAAACCUACUUUGAUGAAACUAGAUAACCGGCUACCUGGCUACAAGUCUCCCCAAAGCACCAGGCCUAGACUGGGUUUCAGGCUUAUUCUCCUAAAAAGAAAUGAGAUCUAUUUUGUCUAUUAACGUUUAGGUUGUCACGCCUCCAAAUACUUCUAACAGGGUCUGUUCCACCUACAUCAACCACAAUGGGCUAAUAGAAGAGGACACAGAAUUAUAUAUAUAUCACCAAAUGACUCCAUUCCUUUAGACAGGGUAACACAAGCGCCGUCUCUAUCUAGAUCAGGAUCAAAAUUACUACCAAACGUUCCAUGGCUCUUCAUCCUGCUUGGGCCCCCAGCUACAAUGAUUCUUUUAUUAAUCUUUGGCCUCUGUCUUUUUAAACUACUUGCUAAGUUCUGUCUCUUCCAGAUUACAAUAGGUUCACAUCAAGAUAAUGAUGACGCAAAGAUUCCAGCCAUUUCUCAGAACAGAUGCUGCCAAAACAACAACAGAAGUCACCCUGGGGCCCUUAAUAAGACAGGGCGAGAGCUCUGUGACCCCAACUAGGUAGGGUCUACGAACCCCUUGCCAGCCUGAGGAAGCGACAGAAGACAGACCGUCGUCCCUCAUCCUCCCAGUAAAGAUUUCUUGGGGUUCACGUCUCUCAGGGGGGGAUUUGAAAUAGGAGAUAGGUGGGCCCCUGGGCCGGACAGCUGGAGUUUGUCAAGUGGAGCGGAACUGAAGUUUCGUCCUCAGCCAGACAAGAACGACGCCCGCUUCCCUUCCUCCAUUGAUAUGGAGGGAAUGAACUAGCAGUGGGGAAUUUGUUGCAGCAAAAAUAGAAAUGAAGUUUUCCCUCCCCUGAGAACAAGGAAAAUAAAGGGAACAGUGAAUAGGCUAGAGAAGAAACAUAACCUGGCCUGAAAGAGUUAAUCACGCCUUGGUUUACUUUAACUGUCACUAAUUUGUAGUAACUAGAUUUGUACUUUAGGAAGCUAACCUCACGCUCUGACACUGUGUAAUUCACAUUCGGUACCCAUCACUCCUAACUCUGUGUGAGUUACAUCCCGUGCCUCUCACCCCCUAACCUUAUUAUGUCCGGGCACUUACAUUCUAUAUGCCCCUCGUAAGAAAUCACCCCCUAUAGUUUUUGCAUUUCAGAAACAAGGUCACCGGCCAAUAAACCAGAGGCAAGCGGACGCAAUUACCAGACUGUCGGACCCCAAUUACCGCGGAGCGGCUGGGCCCGUGAGCCAUGGCCUCUGAGCCUGCGCGUCCGGAGCCUGUGCUCCGCAACGGGAGAGGCCACAGCGGUGAGAGGCCCGCGUACCGCAAAAAAAAAAAAAAUUACAUGGGAAGUGUUGUCAAAUGUGUAAUAAAUCUUCUUACGUUAUACUGUAUGGUAAUUGUUACCACCCUAUAUUAUGGUAAUCCCCUCACCCUAAGGCAGACCCGCCUACCUGGGAAGGGGGAUCCAGUGUUAAUGGGGCUGUGACGCCAGCUAUGACUGUUCUGAAAUAAUGCAAAGGAAAGGAAGAAUGCGAGACCUUCACUACUUUGAUCCUUAUCACAGACCCCCGGACUGCGAGCCUCACAUAUAAAAUCUUCCCUGAUUCCCAAGGAGGGGGGGCACAGCUCUGGAGGCGCUAGCCUGCUGUGUCUUCCCUUCUGCCUGGCAGAAAAAUAAAGCCAUCUCUCUCUUCCUCCAAAAUCCUU